rnacentral:rRNA from 1 species
UACAUAGGGGGCGAGCGUUAUCCGGAAUUAUUGGGCGUAAAGCGUGCGUAGGCGGUUUGUUAAGUUCGAUGUAAAAACCCACAGCUUAACUGUGGAAGGUCAUAGAAAACUGGCAAGCUAGAGUACGGUAGAGGUAGGUGGAAUUCCAAGUGGAGCGGUGGAAUGCGUAGAUAUUUGGAGGAACACCAGUGGCGAAGGCGGCCUACUGGGCCGGAACUGACGCUGAGGCACGAAAGCGUGGGGAGCAAACAGG